UGACUCUCAAAGAUAAGCAGUGCUUUUCCUGUGAGUGGGAGGUUUUGGUGGAUGGGCAGUCUUCCAAGACUGAAGACCAUGAUUCUCUACUUCAAAAUGUACCAUCUUCCAUGAAUAAAUUCUAAAAGAGCCUAGCUCUCCAGGCAACAAGGAAACAAAAGGAGAAUGGCAGAGAGCAAACUCUCCUCCCUGUUGAUGGAUGAUAAUGUGUGAAAAUGACCCAAACCCUUGCGAAGAAAGAUAGCAUGAAAUUCAAGAUGCAUUGUGAUGAAGAGCAACCAGCAUGGAAAUCUUCCGCAAUCAUUCUUCACAGGCUCAUGUCUGUCAAGUCUGCCUCUGAUAUUCUCAGUAUCUCACACCUGCAGUGAGUACAGAAAGGGGAACAGGGACAUACCCACGGCUACACCCUCUCACUCUAUUCACGAGAUGGUUCUUGAAACACAGUCGGGUUCUUGUGAUGGGGAAACAAUAAAAAUUGAAAUCACAUAAGUAACCCCCACACCUUGCACACAGCUGUAGGAGUUAAUUCGGAAGUGAGAGGGGGACUUGAGGGUCCCUCAUUACCUCAAGGAGCUGCCGUUUCCCCGAGGCUUUCAUCCUGAUGGUGGACAUGCGCUCGGCCAGGACAGUGAGCGUGGACUGC